UGGGGUGGUUUGUUCUGGUAGUGUGUGGAUAGGGCUUGGUGAGUGCUUGUUAUCCUUUCUUCUGUGAAGUGCUGUAAUGGAGUCUCAGGUGCGCCAGAACUUCCACCGGGAGUGUGAGGCUGCUAUCAACUGUGUUGUGAAUUUGGAGCUGCGUGCUAGCUAUGUCUUCAUGUCUAUGUCUUGCUACUUUGACCGUGAUGAUGUGGCCCUGAGGCAUAUGGCUCAGUUUCUGAUGGAGCAGUCCCAUGAGCACAAGGAGCAUGCAGAGAAGUUCCUGCAAUACCAGAACAAGCGAGGGGGACGCAUUGUCCUGCAGGACAUAGAGAAGGCAGAGCGGGAUGAGUGGGGGAACAGCCUGGAGGUCUUGCAGCAUGCUCUGCAGCUGGAGAAGACCUUGAACCAGGCCCUGCUGGAUCUGCAUAAAGUGGCUACAGAGCAGAAUGAUCCUCAUCUUUGUGACUUCCUGGAGUCUGACUACCUGGAGGAGCAGGUGAAGGCCAUCAAGCGGCUGGGAGACCAUGUCACCAACCUGAAGCGCCUGGGAGUACCCCAGAGUGGCAUGGGAGAGUACCUGUUUGACAAGCUCACCCUGGGGCACAGCAGCUGAAGUCUGCACUGGCAGCUGCAAUGUCCAAUUGAAUAUAUGGGCCUUUCCAUUCCCAAAUCAAAAGAUGUAUUGACUGCAGCUGUGUGACUACCUGGAGAAGCAGAUGAAGGCCAUCAAGCAGCUGAGAGCCUACCUCACCAACCUGACGUGCCUGGGAGUGCCCCAGAAUGGCAUGGAAGGGUACCUGUUUGACAAGCACACCCUGGGGGAGCGCAGCUGAACAAUGCACAUGGGAUGCUCUCCUCCAGCAUAGUAAAGCUGGAUCAAUGGCCGUCCAAGUGCUGAGAAUAAAAUGUAUUAACCUGUUGAAA